AAAAGCUAUUAGCCAGGAUCAUGG
rnacentral:piRNA from 1 species